GGAGAUCUUAUAUUCCACAACCCUAUCCGCGAAGCACCUCCGCAUCCUUCUCCUUUCUCUUCUUCAUCGCUCGGCAAGACCACUUUUGGGUCGGGUUCUCCGUGGCCUCGAUGCCGUGGUUGGCCGGAACGCACACCGCGAUCAGAAACUCCUCGCGAGAGAAGCUCCCUCCUUCGUCUUCGACGUCGUCGUCCUCCACCUACUUCUACUGUGAAUAGAUUAUGGCUGAUAAUUUUGUGUAAGGACAUUAGAGUUAGGGAUUUUUGGGUUUUCCUUGGAGAUGGAGGAGAGGUCGACGGUUUGAGAAAGAGUGGAGGGGAGAUGAGCUUUAUGGCGGCGCCGGGGGCGGAGGAGGACGAGGGGGCCGCGGCGGCAGGGCAGAUCCAUUUGCCGGCGGAGGUGGACUGGGAGAUGCUGGACAAGUGGCGGUUCUUCGUCCUGGGCGCCGCACUCUUCUCCGGCGUGUCCGCGGCGCUGUACCCGGCGGUGGUCCUCAAAACGCGGCUCCAGGUCGCGCAGCCAGCGCCGCCGUGCCUCCGCGCGGCGGCGUCCAUCCUCCGCCACGAGGGACCCCGGGGGUUCUACCGCGGAUUUGCCACGUCCCUCGCGGGCACCGUCCCCGCGCGGGCCCUCUACAUGGGCGCGCUUGAGGCCACCAAGAGCGCCGUCGGCACCGCCACUCUCCGCUUCGGGGUCCCCGAGCCCGCCGCCUCGGCUGCCGCCUCCGCUGCCGCCGGACUCAGCGCGGCUGUCGCCGCCCAAGUCGUCUGGACACCCAUCGACGUGGUCAGCCAACGCCUCAUGGUGCAGGGCUCCGCCGCCGCCACCGCCGCUGCCAAGUACCGCGGUGGUGUUGACGCCUUUAAGAAGAUACUGUUCUCCGAUGGCCUCCGCGGCCUUUACCGGGGGUUCGGGAUGUCAAUCCUCACCUACGCCCCAUCCAAUGCCGUGUGGUGGGCGUCCUACUCCCUCUCUCAGAGACUAAUCUGGGGUGGCAUCGGCUACCACAUGGGUGGCGGCGAGUUGAGGCCGGGACACGGUACGGUGGUGGUGGUGCAGGGGAUAAGUGCGGCGGUGGCAGGGGGAGCUUCGGCGGUCAUGACAAUGCCACUGGACACCAUUAAGACGAGGAUGCAGGUGUUGGACGGCGGUGGCGAGAGGAUGACGAUUGGGCGAACAGUGAGGAGUCUUCUAAGGGAAGGCGGGUGGGGGGCAUGCUACCGAGGGCUUGGUCCGAGGUGGGCUUCCAUGUCUGUGUCCGCGACCACCAUGAUCACCACCUACGAGUUCUUGAAGAGGCUUUCAGCGAAAGAGGGCUUUCUUUGAGGAUUAAUGGUCCCAAUCCACUCGAGCUUGCAGCAUGAAAAUGGCUUACAAGAAGAUGAGGUUGCAGGUGAUGGAUAGUGAUGGUGAUAAGAUGAGAAACCUUUGAGGGAGUUUCCGAAGAGUCUUUCAGCCAGAGAGUAUCCUCUGUGAGGUACUUCAAACUGUGAGAAGAUCUUUUAAAAAAAUGGUGGUGGUGAAGGGAGCUGGGUUUAGUAGACAUUGAUGGACUACUAUCUGAUCCAAUCUUAUCCAAACAUGGAUAUGAAUUUUGUAUGCAAAGCAAGAUUGCUUACAUCAUCUUCAUAUUAUAUGUGAUCCUCCAGGCAUGUUCCUUCUAAUUAAUGUCGUUUCCCAUGUUUGACAA